GCCAGGCAUGGUGGCACAUGCCUGUAAUCCCAGUUACUUGGGAGGCUGAGGCAGGAGAAUCACUUGAGCUCCAGAGGCUGAGAUUGCAGUGAGCCGAGAUUGUGCCACUGCACUCCAGCCUGGGUGACAGAGUGAGACCCUGCCUCAA
ensembl:misc_RNA Metazoa_SRP Metazoan signal recognition particle RNA